rnacentral:rRNA from 1 species
AUUGAACGCUGGCGGCAUGCUUUACACAUGCAAGUCGAACGAGUCGCGCACGGGUGAGUAACGCAUCUGAACGUACUGAGUCAUGGGGGAUAACUGUCCGAAAGGACAGCUAAUACCGCAUAUUAUUCGAGCGGCCGAUGUCUGAUUAGCUGGUUGGGGGGGUAAAGGCCCACCAAGGCGACGAUCAGUAGCGGGUCGGAGAGGAUAAUCCGCCACACUGGGACGGAAACACGGCCCAGACUCCUACGGGAGGCGGCGGAGGGGAAUUUUGGACAAUGGACGAAGGCCUGAUCCGGACAUGCCAGGUGUCGGAAGAAGGGCUUCGGGUUGUAAAGGACUUUUGUCAGGGAAGCGGUACCUGAAGAAUAAGCACCGGCUAACUACGUGCCAGCAGCCGCGGUAAUUC